UUGCGUACAGACUAACAUUCACUGCGUAAGAGGACAUGAGUAAUGAGUAGAUGCAAACUUAUUUCCUUGUUCAUGUUUGUCUUUCUGUUUGAUUGACACCAAAUUAUUCGUUUAACAUUAUAUGUUUGGAUUCAACCACUUAACAGGUGGAUUUCUCGGAGCAGUUGUGAUAGAUAAGGCAGAUUCAUCAUGUAGGGGAAGUAGAGAUUAUCGGUGUUAGAGAUUAUCUGGUGCUCUAGGACAUGAUCUACACAUUUCUACAGUGCAAAUUUCUUUGGAUUGGAUAUAAUUUCUGUGAUACAGAACAAUCUAUGGCUCUGCUUUUUGAAAGUGUUGGAUAUAAAAGUAGGUCUCAUGAAAUUGUCAUUCGGAAGGAUCUGUAAUGAUGGCACUGAGUCCCCUGACGGCCAAUCCUGGUCGAGGGAGCGUGGCGAUUAUACGCAGGAUGAGCAUGGAGACAUUUAUGGUUCGGAUUUAUACUGGACCGCUCAGCCAGGAACACGAGUUUGUCUCCGUUGAAGCGGAGAAGAUAACCACGGCAGACGAUGUGGUAAAAGUUGCUGCCAAAAAGCUGAGUUUACGCGAUCCAGAUAAUUACGAAUUGGCUGAAGUGUUAAGCACUGCCGGCCAGUUGUGUAAAGAAAGACGAUUAGAAGAUGGAGAAAACCCUGUGCGAAUUCAGUUGUUAUGGCCGACUAAAAUAGUAAAUGCAGAUGUUGAUCGAGGCCAUGGACUGUAUACUGGUUACAGAUUUUAUAUACGUAAAAAGAAUCGUGAAAAUUCCAACAGAACGUCAUUGUGGAUAGAAUAUACAGAUCCGAACCCAGUAGAUAACUUUCUUACAGCAUUCUUAAAGCAGCCCACAAGCAAUAAAGAAUAUUCAGACCUAUGCAACUUACCUGACCUCAAUGAGAGAACGUUAUUAGAAAAUAUCAAAUCUAGAUUUCACAAUGCAAACAUAUAUACUUAUGUAGGAUCUAUAUUGAUAGCUGUAAAUCCAUUUAAAUUCUUUCCUAUAUACAAUCCAAAAUUUGUCAAAGAGUAUCAAUGCAAACGUUUGGGCGAACGUCCGCCACAUAUAUUUGCGAUUGCAGAUGCAGCUUUUCACACUAUGUUGCGGACCAAGAAGAACCAGUGCAUUGUCAUAUCAGGGGAGUCUGGGAGCGGGAAAACAGAAAGUACGAACUUGUUGCUGCAUCAUUUAACGGCUUUAAGUCACAAGGGAUUACAUGGUAGCGGAGUGGAACAAACUAUCCUCGGAGCUGGACCUGUACUUGAGGCAUUUGGGAAUGCAAAGACUGUGCACAACAACAACUCGAGUCGUUUUGGGAAGUUCAUACAAGUCAAUUAUAAAGAAAAUGGAAUGGUUCAUGGUGCUAUUGUGGAGAAAUACCUGCUAGAAAAAUCUAGAAUUGUCUCACAAGCCAGCAAUGAAAGGAAUUACCACGUAUUUUACUACCUGCUUGAAGGAGCUGACAACUUAGAGAGGGAAAAGCUUCGUCUUGGUAAACCAGAGGAUUAUUUCUACUUGAGACAGAGUGACUGUUACAAUGUGGAAGAUCUCGAUGAGGCAAAUGAAUUCUCUCGUCUUAAACAGUCCAUGGAGAUGGUCGCAUUUUCUCAAGUUACACAAAAAAGAAUAUUUGGUGUACUGUCAGCUGUGUUACAUCUAGGAAAUGUCACCUUUAAGAAGAAAGGAGACCAGCACCAUGAUGAGUCUGUUACCAUUGUAAAUCCCGAGACAAUAACCAUUAUCUCCAAGCUUCUUAUGGUGAAAGAGCGCACCCUGGUUGAGGCACUUACUCAGAAGAAAACCGUAGCGGGAGAUGAAACUGUCGUUAUGACUCAUCGGAUGGAACAUGCUGUAGCAACUCGAGAUGCCAUGGCAAAGUGUUUGUAUGGAGCUUUAUUUGACUGGAUUGUUCUCAAAGUAAACCAAGCCCUGCUGGCAAAAAGACACAACAGUGAACAUCAGGCUGCUGAUAGUACAGAUAAAACAAAUUACGUUAGACACACGGGUAAUUCAAUAGGUGUAUUGGACAUAUUUGGUUUUGAAGAUUUUAGAUGGAACAGUUUUGAACAGUUCUGUAUCAACUAUGCAAAUGAACAUCUUCAAUACUAUUUCAAUCAACACAUCUUCAAAUUUGAACAGGAGGAGUAUAAAAAAGAGGGUAUACAAUGGAAGAACAUAGAGUUUAUAGACAAUACAGGCUGUCUUGAGUUGUUCUCAAGAAAAGGCAAUGGUCUCUUCUCUCUGCUCGAUGAGGAAUGCAAUUUCCCUGGAGCAAGUAAUGAGACACUGUUGUCCAAGUUCCAUCAUCACCAUUCAAGGGGUAAUGUUUACUAUGAGGCACCACAGAAGAAGGAGAUGGCAUUUGCUGUCCUCCACUAUGCUGGAAAAGUCAAAUAUCAAACCAAGGAUUUCCGAGAGAAGAACAGCGACCAAAUACGGAUGGAUAUUGUGGCCAAUAUGAAGAGCAGUAGUCUUUCAUUUGUCAGGGAACUUAUGGGUGUUGAUCCUGUGGCUGUGUUACGAUGGACGAUUCUGAAAACUCUCAUCAAAAGUGUUUUUGCUUUUAUUAGAGCAGGAAAAACUUACAGACAUAGGGGAGGACCUGAUAUAUCUGUGAUACAGAGAAGAAAAACUUCAACAGACCAUCUCACAAUUCCAGAUCUUGGCUCCUCCCACUUUCUAAGUUUCUACACAUGUGCGCAAACCAUCAAGCUUAUCAAGAAAAUUCACCCGCGUCGUAUAUCCCCAACUGACCCACCCAAGCACCGCUCUCCCCGCUCCUCUGUGCAUGAUAAGCGCCACAGUCAUAGGGACAACAAUUAUGGGACAGAUGAUGAAGAUGAUGAUGUAUUUAUGUCAGGUCAGCGACAUUCGUCCAGUUUACGGAGUCCUGUAGACGCGUACUUGUCCGAGGAUGAUGCACGUGUUAUGAGACGCGCUACUAAAGUAUUGAUGAAAAACAAAUCGUUCAAGCCAAAGUCAAGGCCACAAACAAUGUUUUCAGACAUAAAGACACUGAAAGCCAUUGCAAAUCGUACCAUAUACAUCGGUGGUAAAGUGAACACAAAACAGAAACCACCAAGUGUUGGUGCUCAAUUCCAGUGGUCUUUAUCACGACUGAUGGCGACACUGAACCAGGCAAAUCCAUUCUUUAUCCGAUGUAUCAAAUCUAAUGCGGAAAAAUUGCCGUGUAAGUUGGAUGACGUUCUAGUUCUACGGCAGCUUCGCUACACUGGAAUGCUCGCUACAGUUCGUAUCCGACAGUCCGGGUACAAUUACAGACUUCUGUUUGAGGAAUUUGUUCAGCUGUACAAGAUUCUACUGCCGAAAGGUUUAUCGAGUGGAAAGGAAGACGUGUCGCAAUUUCUGGAGAGUAUGAACAUGAACCAGGACAAUUACCAGAUCGGAAAAACCAAGGUGUUUCUACGUGAAACAGAGAAGUUGUUAAUAGAUGAGUGCCUUCAUCAUGCCAUUAUGAAACGUGUGAUCACUAUCCAGAGAUGGGUGAAAACAAAAGUUGAGCGAAGGAACUACAUCCAGCUGAGAGAAAGUACUGUCAUCUUACAGAAAUACAUUAGACGGUUCAUUGCUCAGCGAAGAGUAGAAAUGUUCCGAGAAGCUGUAUUGUUGAUACAGCGUUGCUAUCGAGGCUCAAGAGAAAGAAAGAACUACCAUCUUGUCCGACGUAGUGCCAUACGUAUUCAGGCUCAUGUCAAAGGCCAUUUAUGCCGAAAAAGACCUGUGAAGAGAAGGUAUCGCGAGAUGGAAGCUGAGCUACGGCGACAGAGAGCGGAACGUGAGGCAGUUAAACAAGCAGAGGACAUGCACUCAUCCACAAGUGAUGAAGGGGUACUUCUCAAAGACAAUAGUGCUGAUGAGCUUGAGUUACAAGGUGCUCAGUAUCAGCGGAGAGACUCUGAAGAAAGCAGUGGUAUAUUGGAUGACUCUGAAUCAGACACACUCUCAGAGGCAAAAAGCAGGGGGGAUUCUGUAUCUUCCCCUCCGGCCACACCCACAAGCCAGGGCCCCGAGAUAUAUAUUGAAAGCUUGCCAGGCUCAAAGGACAAGUUUCUCACAGAGACUGGCCGAUCUUCAAGAGUGCAAGACUUGGCUAAAAAGUUUCAAUCUCCAGGGAGUCAGACAUCAGAUAAGUUUAGAAGGGACGUUGAUGGUCGACCCACGCCUGACAUCAUAUAUGUUCCACGGGGAUCAUCUGCUAGAAAAAGGCCGCCUAAAAUGUCACCCGCUCCUCUAGCGAAGCAGGAGUCUUUCUCAGACCUGGUUGAUCUAGUUGAUGGCAAACUUGUUCAAGAUUCUCCUACGGCAUCCGAUGUACGAGUGUCACCACUUUCUCCAGAAAAAAUGCAGCUGGUUGAAGACGCUCUCAAGAAACCAAGGAGUCAUACUGGAGAAAGUCUGCAUGCAUCAGCAGAAGAUGUUUCCAUUAGUCCAUUCAAACGUGUAAUGAAAGGAGCCAAGCAUUUUGUUGAGAAAAUUAGUCAAGAAAAUUUACGUGAAACUAAGAGUUACCCUUGUGCACCAGAGAGCGCUACGUUAAAACGUAAGAUGUCCUUGUCGUCAACCUUACUGAGACGUACAAAAUCCUCAAUAAAAAUGCUGCGAGACAUGAAGAGUGGUGGACAAAGGAAGAAGAAAGACUCGCAGGCGGAGGAAAGUGAUGAAGACGUGGAACACUCCCCUGUCGCCAAACAUAUGUUACAUACAGGUGGGGUACCGGUACUUCCACAUCAUCCAAGCAUGCCAUUAUCUCCAAAAUCUCCAGUGAAAGAUGAGAAUAUUUUCUCUGAGGAUGAGCAGGAGAAGAAGGCUAUACAGAAGAAGAGACGUACAAGGAAAGGAGAGAAAGAUAAAGAGAAUCGACCAAUGGAAGUGCAGAAAGGCUGGAAUCUUGCUAAAACUUCACAAUGGCAAUAUCCAGAGGAAUUUGUGAUAACAGAAACAUAUGAACUACAACUGCUAGAUGAGUUCAUCAGUAGAAAGAUAAUUGUGUUGGUCAAAGACACUGGGAAGAAGGAGUCUCAGUUUGAUAUUGUGUUCAAGAAAUGUCUCAAGUCAUUCCAUUCCGAACUGAAAUAUAUACUCUCAUUGUCCAUGCAGAAGGAAGGAUCAAAAGAAAAUGGCUGCAAUAUAAAAUAUCGUGAUUUAUUCGCAAUGUUUGAAUCGACAAUGAGAGGAACAUGUGAAGAGCAGAAAGUGGACGCUGAAUUUCCAGUGACUUUAUGUAUAAAUGCAUUCCGCAGUUAUCUAGACGAGUUUAGAAAUAGUGUAAAUAGUAAAAAGAAAGACAGUAAAUUUAAAAAGAAAAAAGAAAGACAAAAUAGGAGAGAUAACAAGAAAAAAGAUAUUAUAGAAUAUCAAGGCCAUAAAUUUUCCCAAGUGCAAUUUGGAAUUCCAACAUUCUGUGAAUUGUGUUCAAAUAUUAUAUGGAUCAUGGAGAAAGGUCAUGUGUGCCAAAUUUGUAAAUAUGCCUGCCAUAGAAAAUGUGUUUACAAGUCAACCUCAACUUGUAAAGGUGCUCAAGACUUGAAUAAUCAGCUUUUCUCCCAACCUCCAAAACCGUACAGCGUUAUCGUUGGUCCAUCUGUAAACUGUGUCUUCAGACAGUUCAAUGCCAUAACCCAGAGGAUAGUUGGUACAAAGGUGUUCGGUGUUUCGUUACAAAGUCUAGUAGGGCCGGAAGACACGAUACCCGUGUUCAUGGACAAUCUGAUCAUGCUGAUUGAAACUCAUGGACUAUUUACUGAAGGAAUAUACAGAAAAUCUGGGGCAGCACCCAAAAUCAACCAGCUCAAGACUGUCCUAGAUAAUGGUGUAACAGAGAUCAGUAUAGAGGACAACCCAGUGCAUGUGCUGACGAGUACGUUGAAGACAUUCUUCCGAGAGUUACCAGAGCCGUUGCUCACUUUUGAAUUUUAUGACGAAUUUAUACAAGCUUCAGAAAUCCAUGAUGAGAAGGAAGCCAUACAAGUUCUGUUUUCCCUCAUAGAGAGAUUGCCUAAAGUAAAUCAUGAUGUUUUAGAAAGACUUAUAUUCCAUUUGGCAAGAGUGGCUCAGCAUGAGAAGAACAACAAGAUGUCAGUAAACAGUCUAGCUAUUAUAUUUGCUCCAUGUUUAUUGAGAACCAACAGGAUUGUUCAGGCACAGGACAUGAUAAUGCAGGUGUCACGACAACAAUUAUGUAUUGAGAAGAUUUUACAAGAGCAGCUGUACAAGCUGAAGGCUACGUUACAGGAUAUAAAUACACUGGAAUCUGCUGAGGCUACAGCCAAUGAGAGGCUGUCUGUUGUCCGGGCCAGCAUGAGAAACUCUACAAAUGUUGGUAAGAAGCAGGUGCAGGUACAGCCAAGUUUAUCAGAAGAUACUGAAACACUGGAGGAGCAGGAACGUGUCAUAAACUCUCAUAUACAGUCUUUACGUAUUGAAAAAGAGUCAUUGACGAACACCUUGCCAGUGUUCGAGUACCGUCACAGCUCAGAUGAUGAAAUGUUGUCAGCAGACGACAUUGAAUCCACAGAUGACAGCGAAUAUCAGGCGGAAGACCCCUAAUUUUGAGACUCCUGGGGUACACGUAAAACAUUGAACGUGAUAUUAUAUGCACGUGUACUCAGCUAAAGCCCCAACCCAGUUGAAACAUUUGACCAAACAUCGGGUAGAGGUUCCAGGUAAACGUCGCCCUCCAACGCAAUUAUUUAAACAGCGCAGUAUGGAUGACAUGGACACAUUAGAAAAAGAAACGUCCGAACAAUUUCUUAACGGAAAACAUUCAUGUAGUACUGAAGACAAUACAUAUAUGUUCAAAUAUUCGUCUUCGAACAAAUCCACUGUUAAUCAGGGUGAGCGACGACAACUGCUGGACAGUUUAGAUUUACACUCGCCAGAUUCUCGCAGCAUUGAUCAAACUCGUAAAAAAGUUGGAGAACAUUUCAAAAAGGUGAAAGGCAAACAAACAAGUGCACUGAGCAAACAGCUCAGAGAAUCAGAUCAAAUUGUUGUCUCAUCGGAAACUCUUUCAACUGCUAUAGCAAAAGACUCUUUAUAUUUGCUUAAACCAAAGUUAUAUCAAGACGCUCUAUCGCCAAAAUUAAAAACCAAAUCCCCAAAAUCUCAUUUAUACAGUCAGGUUCCAAGUAAAACUGAUUUAAGUCGAAGUAAACCUGUGCAAGAAAAAAAGAGAAAAUCCCCUGGAAAGGAUUAUGACGUUCUAGUCGGGACAUCACCACAACACCAAAUGCAACUGUCGUCCAGACCGUUGAGACUUACAUCAGGUCAUGCAAAUCCAGAGAGAAUGUCAUCAUAUGACAACACAAACUUGUCUGUGAUGGAAAAUAGUGACCCAGAAGAUGAAAUUAUGGUUUAAAAAAUACAAUGGAAAAUAAUAAUGUUCUAAAAUUUACCAUUUUUUAAAGAUUAUUUUAAAUCGAUUGAGUAGGUCUUCUUUUCAGGCAGUCUCUGCUUGAUUUAUUUUUUCAAAAGCAAAAUAGGAAGUGAAAAUGAGGCUUUAUUAAGCAAUUUAUCUAUAUAUUUAUUAUUGUGCUGGUUCUUUUAAAUAUAGGGGGUGGAUCAGAAUAAUUUUCGGUCUGCACUUGAUUUUUACUGUAACACAAAACAAAAUAAAAAAAAUGAUGUAAUAUGAUCGGAUCAGUAUGAAUCAGCUGUAUACACAUAACAAAAGCAGAUAUAACAUUUUGCUCUGAAGCAGUUUUAUUAUCCACGACACCAGUUUUAAACUUAACUGCUCCCCCCCCCCCCCCCCCC
rnacentral:misc_RNA from 1 species